rnacentral:rRNA from 1 species
UACGUAGGGGGCAAGCGUUGUCCGGAUUUAUUGGGCGUAAAGAGCGUGUAGGCGGCCAUACAGGUCAGCUGUGAAAACUCGAGGCUCAACCUCGAGACGUCGGUUGAAACCGUCUGGCUAGAGUCCGGAAGAGGAGAGUGGAAUUCCCGGUGUAGCGGUGAAAUGCGCAGAUAUCGGGAAGAACACCCGUGGCGAAGGCGGCUCUCUGGGACGGUACUGACGCUGAGACGCGAAAGCGUGGGGAGCGAACGGG